UAGUUCAGUUGGUUAGAAUACCGGCCUGUCACGCCGGGGGUCGCGGGUUCGAGCCCCGU
rnacentral:tRNA from 1 species